GAUAAUUUGUUGUAAUAAAUCAUUUUAAAAAAUAAACUUACCUCGCUUCCAGUUUCUAGAAUAAUAAUAUAAUAAAUAACCAACAACUGAGGUAAAUUCAGUGUAGUUAAAGAGAACAAAAAGCCAAAUGAAAUAAAAGCCGUUGCUUCUUUACUGUUUGAAAUUCAGCUCGAGAGAGACUCCAGACAAGCUUCCCGCUUCACUCUGUGCGCGUGCGGCUGCUUCAUUUGAAAAAAAAAAAAAAUUUGUUUCAUCAGACUGAAGAGGGGUACUUUUAUAUUCCAUGCUGCUCACCCCGACCCCCAGAGGAUAACCUAAGGACCACAAACCAGGUUUGCAGAGCAGUAAACCUGGCCUCAGUCCACGUGUGGUUGUGAGAGGGUCAGCAGCAGUAAUCGGCAGUGCUGAUCCUUACAGUGGGCAGAGGU